AGACACAGAUGCAGGCAAAAUACUAAUAGCCAUCUGAGUUGGGGCCAUUCAGGCCUUUUUUGGGCUGUUUUUAAUGUCAUUUAUUUGAGGAAGAAAUCAUGUUAAGACAGCAACAUGAAGAAUGGCACAGCCAGGCCUGGAGGCUCAUUCCUGUCAUCUCAGCCCUGGAGAGGCUGUGGUAGUAGGACUGCCAAGAGCCUGAGGCCAGCCUGCAGAGUGAGACCCUGUCUCAAAAAUGAAUGAAUGAAUGGAUGAUGGAUGAAUGAAGAUGGUACCUCCUUUUCAAGUCCUGCUGGGAUGCCCCUGUUGGCCCACAGGGUCGCCACUUCCAAAACCACAGGUCUAUCCUCUCAGCCGUUUAAACUGCCCAGCCCUCAGUUGUUGUAGAGGGCUAGAAGAUCUGGGGUACUGUAAGAAAACUGGAGAUCCACGGAGGAUUGUCAAUACUUUCCUGCCGUGUGCUGAGACCUAGGUUUAGCCGUCAGCAGUUGGUAAAGAGGGACAGAGAAUGAGAGCCGGCAGGGUCUUCACUUCAUAACGGUAAGAUGGGGCACGGCCUCCCCUCCCCCUCUUCUUCCCCACUCCCAACUUUUAUCUUGAAGUACUUGGUAUAGAGCCCAUGGCCUCAAAUGUACUAGGCAAGUGUUUUACCACUUAAUUAUAUCCUAGCCCCCAAAUAGCAAAAGAAGGUUUUGUCUGUUGUGGAGGCUCACCAUAUAGCACAUGGUGGCCUUGAACUUGCAAUCCUCUUGCCUCUGCCUCCCAAAUGCUGGGGUUAUAAAUAUACACCACCUAGCCUAGCUCCAAAAUCAGGUUUCCAAACCCCACUGUUAGGUCUUGGGUAGAAGCUUCCUCUCUGGGGUUCACAACUACCCCCGAUCUCCCAAGCCUCAAUGAAAGUUGUUGAGCUUAGGUGACCAGGAACUUGAGGAGCCCAGAUAUGGACAGACCCCUCUUACAGGUGUGGAGGUCAGGAGCCUUGGAGAUGGACCACACGUGGGGCCUCUGGGUUAGGUGGUCAGCAGGUCCUUUAUGGUGGACCACUGCUAAUUGCAACACUUGCUCCUCUGGACCUAGCUCAGUUAUUGAACUGCUGACACCUGGGUGGAUAUCCCUGGAACACUGAGGCUGGCAUUUGUCUUUCAGUCAUUUGUCGAGUGACCAUGAAAUAUGUCAUGUCCCUGGGCUGUGCCCGGGAUGGCUUCCUCCCCACGGAGCAGGCCUGCCUCUCGGAGCUUACCGGAUAGUUGCCAAUACCUCUUGUCAUAGUUUGCACUCAGUACAUGGCUGUCAAAUAGGUGUAUUUACUCACUCAUCACCAUUUUCAGAAGGCCUUCUACCUCUAGGCUUGGUUGUGGACACCAGGGCUUUGAAGAAGGUGAGGCGAGUGAGGAGUCAAGGUACAGAAUUUAAGGGGACCUUUGCCCCAAGGCCAUGGAGCAGGGCCAGGCCAUAAGGCCUCCCCAGCUUCAGUGUCCUAGAGCUCUGUAGGUUGUGUACACCUGUCUGUGUGUGACCUUCCCUCCCACUCGACCUCACAGCCUAUUCCACUCUGUCCCUUCCUCCCCUUCCUGCCCACAUCCACAAGCAUUCUGCCUUGUGCAAUGUUUUCCAUAAAUGUGCCUGGGAAUCCCUGGGCGCAUGUUUUAAAUGCAGCUUCCCUGUCCCACCUAGCGAGUUUGCCUCACUAGGAACUCAACUGCAGACAUCACUGACAUAGUUAUUUGUUGUUUUGCAGGGUGUCGGGGUGUGGACACAGCAGAACCACCAGACCACCGCUAAUGCUGACCCAUAUGAGAAGAAGGGCUUUCCCAUGCACCUUUGCUGCUGUCUUUGACAGGACAGGACAAGAAGGCACAGGAAGGGCUGUCUGCAGGACACAUGCAGGAAUGCUUCAUUCAGCGUGGCCGUGAGUCUCAGCUGGCCUGGCACUGUGCCUCCUGGGCUCCUCCUCCUCCUCCUCCUCUCCUGACUCUUCACAAGUCUCUGCACUGUCCACUUAAGGAGCUGGAGUGGCACCCUCAGGAGCCUUACAUUGGGGCACAGGUCUCUGUCAGGAUGAGCGUGAGAGCUUUGGUGGCUGGCCAUCCACACCCAGCAGCUCACCGGAGAGCUCAUGAUGGGGACAUCUACGCUCUCAGCUUGCUCUGAAGAUCUGCAGAGUUGUGACAGCAAGAGAGAGGAGGGAAGACUCGAAGUCGGGCGGGGAGGUCACAGACCCCUGAGGCUCUCAUGGCUCCUCACACCCAGCUAACCACAGUACAACAGUGGAAUGUUUCGAGAAAUGUUUGUGGAAUGAACAGGUGUGAAGACAGUCUCUCAUCACAGGAAAGCAGCGCUGUUGAAGGUUCCCGAGCUGCUCUAGCACCAAGCCUGUUCCAAGUGAUCUCACCGGGUCCACAGAGAUCUUCUGUUGCCAUCGUUUGCUUUCCGGAGCUGGAGGCAGCCAUGGAAAACAGGCCCCUCCCCUCGUCCACUGUCGGGGAGGACAUUUUAAACUGAUGGAUAGCAGGGCACAGAUGCAAACUGGCUGCUGGAGACAGAGGCCAGACAUCCCUGACACACGGCCCGCUGCCCGAGCCAAUGUCCGCCAUACCACUGCCAGGACUCCUGCUUCGUGGUGUAAGGAAACCCAAUCCCCUCAAACCAGCAGAGGCCACAGCUUCUAGAAGCUGCCAAGAGCUCAAGGCCUGAAGCCUACCCAAUGGCCACCUGUGGUCAUGUGCCCUGGUGUGUCAGGCAGACACACACACAUACCUGACUCACGAGCCUUGGCCACUUCCUCGCCUCGUGUUCUGGGCAGUAAAGGAUAAACAUUUCCGAGCUGGACUUAGAACUUGGCUGAGCCUUGCUUUUAAUCACGUGAAAGCCAGAACAACUCCAGAAGAAUGAACUGCUUAAAAGGGUCAAGCCUGGGCCAGUCUGACAAGAGGUCUGGCUCCUCACAGCCAUGUACCCUCCCAAAAUAACCGCCUGGAAGCUACUGCUGCCCUGUGGCGUCACCAGCGGCACCCUCUGCUGCCGAGUGCAGGGAGCCGCUUGGACGCAGGUUAACAGCGACUGCCACGCAAGGCUGGGCAGGAGUUAGCAGCCGGAAGGAAAAUAAUCUGGAGAUGGCCACAGAGGCCAGUAGCUGCCAGGCCAUGGGGUUCCACACAGUGACACUGGACGACGCACGCAACAGGACAGUGGAGACUCACACUGCAGGCAGCUCCUGUCUUCUCAAAUCAAACAGUGACCCCAGGACAUUUGUGUGAGUGAGAGCACUGAGUGUUUGGAUGUUGGCCUAACCGGUCAUGGCGGGCAGAACUGUGGACAGAACACUGGCCCCAAGGUGCUGGCUUCUGGUCUAAAGUAUUGUCUUAAACAAAAUAAAAAUUCAGGUGUUACUUCCUUGGAACACCCC